rnacentral:misc_RNA from 1 species
UUGUGGAGAAGGACGCCGAAGGUGGGGCUGAUGACUGGGGUGAAGUCGUAACAAGGUAGCCGUACCGGAAGGUGCGGCUGGAUCACCUCCUAACAGGGAGACAAUAAAUUGAUUGUGAUGUCUAAGUUAUUUAUUCUUAGGCCGCAAUCCUGUCACCUUAAGGUCGAUCGGUACCUCAGAUUUUUGAAUUAGUUUUAUAAUUGAUUCUUUGAUUUCAGUUCCUAAACUUGUCUAGGUCACACCCAACAAAGGUUUCUCCUGGGCCAUUAGCUCAGGUGGUUAGAGCGCACCCCUGAUAAGGGUGAGGUCCCUGGUUCAAGUCCAGGAUGGCCCAUUCGUUGUUGGGGGUAUAGCUCAGUUGGUAGAGCGCCUGCUUUGCAAGCAGGAUGUCAGCGGUUCGAGUCCGCUUACCUCCACUGAAAACUAUCCUGAUAACUAAAUUCUGGAGAAAAAAAUUGUAGAUGUGGCUUAGAAUUGUCUAUUUGAAUAGAACCUAGCUUCUUAUCAUCUUUUUAUAGUUGAUAAAAUGCUGGGCUCGCAUGGAUUAUUUCCAUGAGAAUUCAGUAGAACCUUGAAAACUGCAUAGAUAAGAAAGAAUAAAGCAUCUCAUGGAUGCAUAAUUCUGUUUUUAUAAUUUAGCCUUAAAACUAAAUUAUUUAAUUCUAGAAUUCAUGUUUAAUUCCUGAGUAAAAGCCGAGCACAAUUGAUUUUGUGAUUGUAUUAAGGUCAAGCUACAA